rnacentral:rRNA from 1 species
ACACUCCUACGGGAGGCAGCAGUGGGGAAUAUUGCACAAUGGGCGCAAGCCUGAUGCAGCCAUGCCGCGUGUAUGAAGAAGGCCUUCGGGUUGUAAAGUACUUUCAGCGGGGAGGAAGGCGAUAAGGUUAAUAACCUUGUCGAUUGACGUUACCCGCAGAAGAAGCACCGGCUAACUCCGUGCCAGCAGCCGCGGUAAUACGGAGGGUGCAAGCGUUAAUCGGAAUUACUGGGCGUAAAGCGCACGCAGGCGGUCUGUCAAGUCGGAUGUGAAAUCCCCGGGCUCAACCUGGGAACUGCAUUCGAAACUGGCAGGCUAGAGUCUUGUAGAGGGGGGUAGAAUUCCAGGUGUAGCGGUGAAAUGCGUAGAGAUCUGGAGGAAUACCGGUGGCGAAGGCGGCCCCCUGGACAAAGACUGACGCUCAGGUGCGAAAGCGUGGGGAGCAAACAGGAUUAGAAACCCGGGUAGUCC